rnacentral:rRNA from 1 species
AUUGAACGCUGGCGGCAGGCCUAACACAUGCAAGUCGAGCGAGCGGCGGACGGGUGAGUAAUGUAUGGGGAUCUGCCCGAUAGAGGGGGAUAACUACUGGAAACGGUGGCUAAUGCCGCAUACGAUCGUAUGAGCCCAUAUGGGAUUAGCUAGUCGGGGGGGUAAAGGCGCACCUAGGCGACGAUCUCUAGCUGGUCUGAGAGGAUGAUCAGCCACACUGGGACUGAGACACGGCCCAGACGCCUACGGGAGGCAGCAGUGGGGAAUCUUGCACAAUGGGCGAAAGCCUGAUGCAGCCAUGCCGCGUGUAUGAAGAAGGCCUUAGGGUUGUAAAGUACUUUCAGCGGGGAGGCGUUACCCGAAGAAGAAGCACCGGCUAACUCCGUGCCAGCAGCCGCGGUAAUAC